AUACGUAGGGGGCAAGGCGUUAUCCGGAUUUACUGGGUGUAAAGGGGAGCGUAGGCGGCAAGGCAAGUCUGAUGUGAAAACCCGGGGCUCAACCCCGGGACUGCAUUGGAAACUGCUUAGCUAGAGUGUCGGAGAGGUAAGUGGAAUUCCUAGUGUAGCGGUGAAAUGCGUAGAUAUUAGGAGGAACACCAGUGGCGAAGGCGACUUACAGGACGAUAACUGACGCUGAGGCUCGAAAGCGUGGGGAGC
rnacentral:rRNA from 1 species